ACAAACUGUUAUAAUAACAUCCCAACAAACACCAAAAAAAAGAAUAUAACGGUUAACUGACAAGUAUAUAUCAAUCAAACUAACACAAAAAAAUAAAGCAUAAACAUGCGGUAUACAAUUCAGUAUCACAAGUAAACAAACACACCAUACUAUACACGCUAAAGCAAUAAACGUAAACAGUAACCACCUACAGAAAGGUGCAAGACAACAAAGAAAACUACUCCACUUAUUCCACACUUCGUUAACUUUACCUGUCUGAUUUUAACACACAAAAAAAAGAGUGCAAGCGCAUUAGUACAUUAGUGUUCAGCUGUGCGUAUAUUUAUAUCUCCGGAUUCAAUUCAAUUCAAUUUUAUUGAUAUAGCGCUUUUCACAAUGUGCAUUGUUCCAAAGCAGCUUUACAGGAGCAAAUAAGAAAAACACAGAAAGGUAAAACACAGCACAGUGCAUGGUGUUUAUAGACCAAGCAAGAUCAUUAUAAUAAAUAAUAUCUAAUAAAUAAAUGCAGUCUCCCGGUGAGCAAGCCAACACUGCACUGCUGUGGCGAGGAACCCAAACUCCAAUGCUGAAUAAUGGAGAAAAAAAAAACUCGGGAGAAACCAGGCUCAGCCGGGAGGGCCAGAUCUCCUCUGACGUGUCAUAGCUGCACUCAGUGACCCUGACCAAAGCCACCGAGCAACGUCCACGAAGAACAGGGAGAGCCCACGAGCCGUGACCCAGGAAGCCCCACCCGCCGAAACCGUGCAGGUCCAACCCGGUCCCAUUCUGCGAUCAACAACAGACAACAGAGGGACAACCAGGGAAAAGUGAAUGAAAACAGUUCCGUCUUAAUUAGUUCCGCUAAACGAUAAUCCCGUUAAGACAUCAUUAUCAUUCACUUCUCUUUAGUAUUGUGAGUUUGUUUUCAUUCGUUGUAUGUGUUUUAAUGAAUCUGUACUCUGGAAGCUGUCAUCAAAAUUCCCUGUGUGUGUGUGUGUGUGCGUGCGUGCGUGCGUGUAAGCAUACUUGACAAUAAAAUGUUCAUUCACACUAUUUAUGUUUCCUGUGUAACAUGUCUAAUCGUUACCACAAAUAACCACUAGAUGGCACAAGCGUAUAAAGAUUGACGUUCUUCUUCGUCACCGUUGUUAAGAGCUCCUCCUCUAAAGGAAGUUGCGACGUUGGUGAGCUGGGCUGUCGUAACCGCUAGGUCAGUGCACGUCCACACAUGAAUGAAUAUUCACAAUAAAACGAAGGCACGCAUCACUGCAUUAAUAGUCAUAAGAAGGAUUACAAGCUGUUACGACAGCCAGUGUCAACAUGACAACACACCUUCGUUUUAUUUGAAUUAUUCAUGAUGUUGUGACCCAAACACUACGUUAAGCUUACAGUGAGUUUACCUCAUAAGCCACGGACAUUGACGCAAGGUAAACGCACAUGGAAGAAGCAAAACCUGCCACCGAGAAAUACAAGAAGAGAAACCGCAGAAGAAGAGAAUGAGAAAUAGUUUCGUUGGGAAAAUGGCUUAGGGCAACAGACAGUCAGUCAGGCUUGUGUGACGGAGGCCAGCUAGUGAAGAGCUGUGCAGUGUGUAAACCUCACUCCCCGACCAACAGAGACGCUCUAGCGACAGACGCAGGGGACUGCGGUCUUUAGCCUCCAAGUUAGAGCGCUCGUCUCCCAUCCGGACCGUCGCCGGUUCGAGGCCCGCGCAUCGCAUUGCGAGUGGAACCGGUUACACGUGCACAGACAGAGUGGCCAGCGAGAUUAUGUGCCUGUGUUGAUUCACAAGCUUGACAGAUGCUGAUUUGGAUGACAACAUAAUAAUUAAUAAACCAGAAGCUGAAUCUGCUUGUUGCGGGACUGCAUACAUUAACAAAGGAGUUGUUUGGCAAAAUAUACUUGGACCAACCUGCCUUGAAGCGCACCAAGCCAUGUACUGCACAGAAAAACCUUAAAAGCAUUUAAGGCCUUAUAUGUAAGCAUGUGUAGCUCAGGGUCACUGGUUUCAAUUAUGCUUCAUUUGUUGCUGUAACAUCCUUGUCUGCUAUACAAACCUAUUUUAUCUAUACAGUUUCUUUGUAUGUUUCUCUUUUAUCAUAAUGUGUAACUUUCUUACACUUUCUAUGAGCGGCCUCUACACUAAUAUCAGUUUGUUUUGUUUUCCAUGCCCCGUCCUGGAGUUCCCGAAGACACCAGAGGUCGCCAGUCCAAGCUCCGGGUUGUGGUCUGAUGCUCUUCCCAGUUCAGCCAGAUGCUUGUGAUGAUGGGCAAUCCACCUGAUGACAACUAACAAUUACCAUACUUUAACUUUAACAAAUAUAUUCUUUUCAUACUUUUUGGUAUUAUUGCAAACUGUUCUGGUAUAUUGUAAUUUAACAAUAUUUAAAAUAAUAAUAUACCUAGAUUAAAUAUACUUCAAUUAAAUAAUUGACCGUUUCUGACAAUCCAAGAUAACAUUUAUUUCAGUUUCAUCAGUGUACAUUGCAUUGAGAAAUAAUACCAUGUGUCUUAAUAUCAUAUACUUUUUUAAAUUAUGAUGUAUGUACAGCUGCUUUGCAACAAUGAUAAUUGUGAAAAGCGCUAUAUAAAUACAAUUGAAAAUUGAAUAUUUUGCAGGUAGGAAUCGUUAUCUUAAUUCUUAGCUCAUUGGUUAGACUUAGUCAGUUUAAAUGUGUUUAUAUAAUAUAUGUAUAGUUAUGUGUAAUGUUAUUUGUAAUCUCCAACGCUGCUCCUGAAGAGCUACCAUCCUGCAGACUUCAGCUCCAACCCCUCUUCAGUACAUCUGUCUGUAUUUAUCCAGCAACCCUGAACACUUUGAUAGGAUGGAACAGGUGUGUUUGAUUGGGGUUGGAACUGAUAUCUUCAGGACGGUAGCUCUCCAGGAGCAGGGUUGGAGAGCCCUGGUUUAAGUUAUGUGUUAAAUGUGUAACACCGUGGUCCUGUGAGACAUAUCAUUUCUUUGUAUGUCCCCACAUAUAACAGAAUGACAAUAAAACUGAGCUGACUUGAAUGUG